rnacentral:rRNA from 1 species
CCUACGGGCCGCAGCAGUGGGGAAUAUUGGACAAUGGGCGCAAGCCUGAUCCAGCCAUGCCGCGUGAGUGAAGAAGGCCCUAGGGUUGUAAAGCUCUUUCACCGGUGAAGAUAAUGACGGUAACCGGAGAAGGAGCCCCGGCUAACUUCGUGCCAGCAGCCGCGGUAAUACGAAGGGGGCUAGCGUUGUUCGGAAUUACUGGGCGUAAAGCGCGCGUAGGCGGAUAGAUAAGUCAGAGGUGAAAUCCCGGGGCUCAACCCCGGAAUUGCCUUUGAUACUGUUUAUCUUGAGUGCAGAAGAGGUAAGUGGAAUUCCGAGUGUAGAGGUGAAAUUCGUAGAUAUUCGGAGGAACACCAGUGGCUAAGGCGGCUUACUGGUCCGCAACUGACGCUGAGGCGCGAAAGCGUGGGGAGCAACCAGGAUUAGAUACCCUCGUAGUC